AUCCUUUCAUGUUUCAUAAGCAUGAUGACUAUGUUUUCUUGCUAUUGUAUAAGAUGUGCCUCCCUCAAACUUCGUUAUAAUAUUGGCACAUUACUUGUCUAAUG
ensembl:snoRNA